rnacentral:rRNA from 1 species
CAAAACCGACACAGGUGGGUGAGGAGAGUAUCCUAAGGCCAGCCAGAGAACUGUUGUUAAGGAACUCGGCAAAAUGACCCCGUAACUUAGGGAGAAGGGGUGCCUUCGAAAGAAGGCCGCAGAGAAUAGGCCCAAGCGACUGUUUACCAAAAACAUAGGUUUCUGCUAAGUCGCAAGACGAUGUAUAGGAGCUGACGCCUGCCCGGUGCUGGAAGGUUAAGGGGAUCUGUUAGGGUAACCGAAGCAGUGAACUUAAGCCCCAGUAAACGGCGGCCGUAACGAUAACGGUCCUAAGGUAGCGAAAUUCCUUGUCGGGUAAGUUCCGACCCGCACGAAAGGCGUAACGAUUUGGGCACUGUCUCAACAACAGACUGGGUGAAAUUGUAAUACCGGUGAAGAUGCCGGUUACCUGCGACAGGACGGAAAGACCCCAUGGAGCUUUACUGUAGCUUGACAUUGAGUCUCGGAGCUACAUGUAUAGGAUAGGUGGGAGGCUAUGAAGCAUGGACGUCAGUUUGUGUGGAGCCAUCCUUGGGAUACCACCCUUGUAGUACUGGGAUUCUAACCAGCUGCCUUGAAUCAGGUAGUGGGACACUGUCAGGUGGACAGUUUGACUGGGGCGGUCGCCUCCUAAAGAGUAACGGAGGCGCUCAAAGGUUCUCUCAGUACGGUCGGAAAUCGUACGUAGAGUGUAAAGGCAGAAGAGAGCUUGAUUGCAAGACAUACAGGUCGAGCAAGGACGAAAGUCGGACUUAGUGAUCCGGUGGUACCGCAUGGAAGGGCCAUCGCUCAACGGAUAAAAGCUACCCUGGGGAUAACAGGCUGAUCUCCCCCAAGAGUCCACAUCGACGGGGAGGUUUGGCACCUCGAUGUCGGCUCAUCACAUCCUGGGGCUGUAGUAGGUCCCAAGGGUUGGGCUGUUCGCCCAUUAAAGUGGUACGCGAGCUGGGUUCAGAACGUCGUGAGACAGUUCGGUCCCUAUCCGUCGCAGGCGUAGGAAAUUUGAGGAGACCUGUCCUUAGUACGAGAGGACCGGGAUGGACGUACCGCUGGUGUACCAGUUGUUCUGCCAAGGGCAUAGCUGGGUAGCUAAGUACGGAAAGGAUAAGCGCUGAAAGCAUCUAAGCGCGAAGCCUACUUCGAGAUAAGAUUUCCCACCGCAAGGUUAAGACCCCAUGAAGACUACAUGGUUGAUAGGUCAGAGGUGGAAGUGUGGUAACAUAUGUAGCUUACUGAUACUAAUAGGUCGAGGACUUGACCAU